rnacentral:rRNA from 1 species
CUCAGGAUGAACGCUGGCGGCGUGCUUAACACAUGCAAGUCGAACGAUGAUCCGGUGCUUGCACCGGGGAUUAGUGGCGAACGGGUGAGUAACACGUGAGUAACCUGCCCUUAACUCUGGGAUAAGCCUGGGAAACUGGGUCUAAUACCGGAUAUGACUCCUCAUCGCAUGGUGGGGGGUGGAAAGCUUUUGUGGUUUUGGAUGGACUCGCGGCCUAUCAGCUUGUUGGUGAGGUAAUGGCUCACCAAGGCGACGACGGGUAGCCGGCCUGAGAGGGUGACCGGCCACACUGGGACUGAGACACGGCCCAGACUCCUACGGGAGGCAGCAGUGGGGAAUAUUGCACAAUGGGCGGAAGCCUGAUGCAGCGACGCCGCGUGAGGGAUGACGGCCUUCGGGUUGUAAACCUCUUUCAGUAGGGAAGAAGCGAAAGUGACGGUACCUGCAGAAGAAGCGCCGGCUAACUACGUGCCAGCAGCCGCGGUAAUACGUAGGGCGCAAGCGUUAUCCGGAAUUAUUGGGCGUAAAGAGCUCGUAGGCGGUUUGUCGCGUCUGCCGUGAAAGUCCGGGGCUCAACUCCGGAUCUGCGGUGGGUACGGGCAGACUAGAGUGAUGUAGGGGAGACUGGAAUUCCUGGUGUAGCGGUGAAAUGCGCAGAUAUCAGGAGGAACACCGAUGGCGAAGGCAGGUCUCUGGGCAUAACUG